rnacentral:rRNA from 1 species
GACGAACGCUGGCGGCGUGCCUAAUACAUGCAAGUCGAGCGGACCAAUAGAAGCUUGCUUCUGUUGGUUAGCGGCGGACGGGUGAGUAACACGUGGGCAACCUGCCUGUAAGACUGGGAUAACUUCGGGAAACCGGAGCUAAUACCGGAUAAUUCAUCCCCUCGCAUGAGGGGAUGCUGAAAGUCGGUUUACGCUGACACUUACAGAUGGGCCCGCGGCGCAUUAGCUAGUUGGUGAGGUAAUGGCUCACCAAGGCGACGAUGCGUAGCCGACCUGGGAGGGUGAUCGGCCACACUGGGACUGAGACACGGCCCAGACUCCUACGGGAGGCAGCAGUAGGGAAUCUUCCACAAUGGACGAAAGUCUGAUGGAGCAACGCCGCGUGAGCGAUGAAGGCCUUCGGGUCGUAAAGCUCUGUUGUUAGGGAAGAACAAGUAUCGGAGUAACUGCCGGUACCUUGACGGUACCUAACCAGAAAGCCACGGCUAACUACGUGCCAGCCGCCGCAGUAA